rnacentral:misc_RNA from 1 species
UUAAGUUCAGCGGGUAGUCCUACCUGAUUUGAGGUCAAACAUUCAAAAUUUGUCUACAGAGAGACAGUUAGAAGCUGAACAAGACAGAGAGCAGCCCUAGGUGUAGAUAAUUAUCACACCAGUGACAGACCGCAAACGGUUCCGCUAAUGCAUUUCAGGGGAGCUGACCCAGCAAUAGGGCCAGCAGAAACCCCCAAGAU